AGAACGAACGCUGGCGGCGUGCUUAACACAUGCAAGUCGAACGCGAAAGUACCGCUUCGGUGGUACAAGUAGAGUGGCGCACGGGUGAGUAACGCGUAGGUAAUCUACCCUUAUAUUUGGGAUAACAUACCGAAAGGUCUGCUAAUACCGGAUACGCUUAAGAAUACGCGAGUAUGAUUAAGGAAAGGUAACCACUGAUAUAAGUUAUCGUAUAAGGAUGAGCCUGCGUACCAUUAGCUGGUUGGUGGGGUAACGGCCUACCAAGGCAACGAUGGUUAGCGGGUCUGAGAGGAUGAUCCGCCACACUGGAACUGGAAUACGGACCAGACUCCUACGGGAGGCAGCAGCGAGGAAUAUUGCGCAAUGGGGGAAACCCUGACGCAGCGACGCCGCGUGGGUGAUGAAGGCUUUCGGGUCGUAAAGCCCUGUCAAGUGGGAAGAAAUGCAUGCAGGUAAAUAGUCUGAAUGUUUGACGGUACCACUAGAGGAAGCACCGGCUAACUCCGUGCCAGCAGCCGCGGUAAUACGGAGGGUGCGAGCGUUGUUCGGAAUUACUGGGCGUAAAGGGCGCGUAGGCGGCUAUGUAAGUCGGAUGUGAAAGCCCACGGCUCAACCGUGGAAGAGCAUCUGAAACUGUAUGGCUUGAGUAUGGGAGGGGAAAGUGGAAUUCCCGGUGUAGAGGUGAAAUUCGUAGAGAUCGGGAGGAACACCUGUGGCGAAGGCGACUUUCUGGACCAAUACUGACGCUGAGGCGCGAAAGCGUGGGGAGCAAACAGGAUUAGAUACCCUGGUAGUCCACAGCUGUAAACGAUGAGAACUAGGUGUUAGGGGGGUGUUGACCCCUCCU
rnacentral:rRNA from 1 species